rnacentral:tRNA from 1 species
AUCGAGUGUAGCUUAACUGGACAAAGCCCCCGGUUUCUAGCCGGGGAGAUGCAGGUUCGAAUCCUUGCCACUCGCUACCA